rnacentral:lncRNA from 1 species
UAUAAUUUACUCCCUGGGAGUGGUGAGGAGGCAUCUGAAGUGUCUUAAUCAGGAAUCCACAUUCCAAAGGUGGUUAGUUAGCAUUUGAAAUACCCUCCUUAGGGAUCAACACUUCAGAGGGGGUUACUUAGCACUUCAAAUAUUAUUCUGAAAUCUACACCACAAAGGGGGCGUUCAUUAGCAUGAAAGGUGUUAGAAGUAAAAUUUUCGUUGGUCGAAAGGGUGGUAUUCGAGUCAUGCAAAUUGGCAAGACCAGGUCUCAAAUAAAAUAAAAGAUAAACUAAAACCUCCACAUAUAAAUAUACUCAAGUUUUUCCUGUGCUAUGUAGGAUCCUUCAGGAGUUCUCCUAGCUAUGGGUGAAAACCAAAACAUUUAAAUGAGCAGUUCUGCAUUGCUUGUCUGUAGCCUGCUUCCAUACGUCAGCAGCCCUCACGUCGCCACAUACAGGUUUUGCUUCAGAUGCACAUGCCCACGGCACGGCUCAAACAGGUCACGCUUGAACCUGGGCCAGAGAUCAAUGACAUGGCAAUUAGAAGAAUGACUUCCGAGAAGACCUACUUUUUCUCCUACAUGUCCUAAAACCUUGAGUGUGCUGCUCAAAUGGCUAGUGUACUCCAGACUAGGUGUGACCUGGUCAGAAGGUUCUCUGUUUGACUCAAGGAGACAAGAUAUAUCUUUGGCCCAGGAAUGUCAAUGACAUUCAUUGACACUAACACAUUCAAAAGGGAAAAUUAAAAAUGAGGAAGAAAUAUAAAAAUCUGGUAUUGUUUCAUUCACCAAUAGAACUCAGGUAAACGACAAAUGAAUAUAUAAUGAUAACAAGAACUAAAGUUUAUUCUAACAAUCCCUAACAUGAUUGUCGAAGUGUCUAUUAUUUCACGGUUUUGUCUCAUUCCAUCUUCAUAAAAAUUUUACAAAAUAGGUACAAUUAUUAGCCUCAUUUCCUAAGCACAGGGCUGUUAAUUACUACCCAAGUAUGAACAAACAGUAAAUGGCAUAGCUGGAAUUCAAACACAGAUUGGUCUGCCUCCACUCCCACAGUCUUAACCACCAUGCUCAGAGGAGACUGGGGCCUCCCAGAUACGUCGAUGGCUGCUGCCCAGGUGGCCCUCAAUCAGGCUUUCGGGGGAAGAUCUUUGACCAAGAACUUGAGAAGACAGCACCAAUUCUGAAUCGCAAGUGUCAGAACUAUUUAGAACUUUGGAAACAACAGAUAGCACCUAUGUAUAAACAAUAACGUAUAAGAAGGAGAUGAAGAAAUUAGGAUUUUAUGAUUAUUUGAGUUGCAUGGGAGAAAUUUGAGGGAACAGACCAAUAUUUCAUUUAGGCAAAGGUAUACUACACCAUUGUAU